CUCCUUCCACCUUCCUGCGGGCUCUGUCCCUCUGAUCCGAAGGCUGCCGGUGGAGGGUGGGGCGGGGGAGGGGCGCUGGAAAGAACUGUAACACUUUAGCUUUGUGCAGAGCAAUUUUCCAUUACAGGAGGACUGAACAGAAAUUGAAACGCGAGGCUCAAUGCCCUGCCACCCAGCUUGGUGGCUCUGCCUCUCGCUCCCAGACUGCUGCUGGAAGCUUGCCCACUUGGCAGCUUUGAAAGGUCUCACCCUUUCCCUGCAUUUGCAAGUGAAGGGGAGCCAGGGGAGAGCCACAUGACAAUGAGGUUGCCAGUGGACACCUUUGUGAUGUCAGCAGCCUCCGGAGACUGCCUGGCUGAGGGAAAGAGAUUCCUCACCUCUCCUUCUGGGUGGUGUGGGGGUGUUUUAUGUGUCUUGGCCAUGGAGGGAGCACAGGACAUCUCCAGGCCAACUCCUUUUCUUAGGGAUGAGCAGAGCGACUUGCUUGAGGAGAAAAAUAGCAGAAGGAAGUGCACGUGCCAUUUUAUUCCAUUGAAACUGCCAAUGUGCUCAACUUAGGACUUACAUGGAGUUAGCAACGUAGGGGCACACAAGUCAGUACUUUGUUAAACUGCUCCCCAGGCAGGGAAUGUUGUGGGUUCAGGUCUAAAGAAUGUCACAGUCUCAAGGACUUUGGUGUAGGAGCCACUUAUGGUAUCCAGUUCACUCCAGACUUUUGACACUGCCUGGGCCCUCUUCAGCAAAGUCAUCUCUCAGCCGGUGUGGUGCCUGGGGACAAGAAGUUCAGCCUGAAAGUGGAAAAAGAGUUCCAAAACAUGCCGGGAGGGCUGAGGCCUAAGGGCUAAAUAUGUAUGUAUCUGUCUAUUC
rnacentral:lncRNA from 1 species